rnacentral:rRNA from 1 species
UGGGGAAUAUUGCACAAUGGGCGCAAGCCUGAUGCAGCCAUGCCGCGUGUAUGAAGAAGGCCUUCGGGUUGUAAAGUACUUUCAGCGAGGAGGAAGGCGUUGUGGUUAAUAACCGCAACGCUUGACGUUACUCGCAGAAGAAGCACCGGCUAACUCCGUGCCAGCAGCCGCGGUAAUACGGAGGGUGCAAGCGUUAAUCGGAAUUACUGGGCGUAAAGCGCACGCAGGCGGUCUGUCAAGUCGGAUGUGAAAUCCCCGGGCUCAACCUGGGAACUGCAUCCGAAACUGGCAGGCUAGAGUCUUGUAGAGGGGGGUAGAAUUCCAGGUGUAGCGGUGAAAUGCGUAGAGAUCUGGAGGAAUACCGGUGGCGAAGGCGGCCCCCUGGACAAAGACUGACGCUCAGGUGCGAAAGCGUGGGGAGCAAACA